GGAAUAAAAGUCGUAACAAGGUUUCCGUAGGUGAACCUGCGGAAGGAUCAUUAUUGGAUUUUGAAACUUCAGGCUGCUGCUGGCUCUCCUCGGAGGGCAUGUGCACGCUUGUUGUCCAUUAUUUCUCCCACUGUGCACAAAUUGUAGACCUUUCAGUAGGCCUAUGUUGUUUUUCACAAUCUCUGAAUGUAAUAGAAUGGUUUUGAAUCUUGGGAAAUACAAUACAACUUUCAGCAACGGAUCUCUUGGCUCUC
rnacentral:misc_RNA from 1 species